rnacentral:lncRNA from 1 species
UCCUUUAACAAAAGCAAAAACAAAACUAUGACCCCUCCCCACAAAAUGCUCUCUCAAUAGUCAAUUGAUCUAUUAGCUGAUACAACUCCUUAGUUGUGCUUCAUUCAGUCUUAGUGCAUCUCUUUAAAAUCAUUGCUGAUAUUCAGAAUGACAACACAAUCUCGUGUUAGUAAACAGAAACUAUAAUAUAAGGAUAUUUAAAUAAUGCAAACUUCUGAUCACUUUUGCUAAUGUAACAAUACGACAACUAGUGGAUGAAAAAUACAUGAAAUUUGAUCAAUAUAAAGGCAAGGCAUGGUGUCCAUGAUGUACUUGAACAUAAGAAAAUAUAACAUAUUUCAUAUAACAUUAAAAAAUAUAUAUAUCUGUCAAUUUUCUGGACCCCAUACAAAUGGUAUUUCCGUGACAUUGCAUGUUGAAGAUUUAGGAAUGAAUUUUGGUAUGCAACUGCAACUUUUCUGUCAUGUAGCAAUUAUUUCUGAUUUUUCAAUAUGAUGCAUCAAUUAAAAAAGGUGCGAUGACCAUUUUUAUUAUUAUCUAAAACAAAGAAUUCCUGCAUGAGUAGAUGACAUGGGAAAACUAAUAGAGUUCAUUAAUCUACAGCACCAUCUUUAUUUCUAGUUUUAACAAAUUUAAUCACCAAAAUAGCAUGCCCAAUUUCGAAAUAAUCAAACUACAUAUGGACACGCGCGCACGCACACGCACACAUAAUAUGCAUGUAUAUAUGUAUGUACCUAUAUGUUUAAUAUAUACAAUCAAAUUCCAUAUAAGCUUAAGAGAUCUAGGGGGAAUGCAUUUUGAUUAAGCAAUUGUAGAUACUUGUUCACAAGAUAGAGAACCUGAAAGACAUUGAACAAGGGGUAAUUGAAAGAAUGCUAUGCCCAAGCUUAAGAGAUCACAGAAUAAGUCAUACAUAAUAUGUGCACGUGCAUUAUAUGUAAGAGAUCUAGGAGGGGGGAAUGCAUUUUGAUUGAGCAAUUGUGGAUAUUAGUAUACAAGGUCGAGAUAACCUGAAAGACAUUGAACAAGAGGUAACUGAAAAUAUGUUAUCUGCAAGCUUGAUAAGAUCAGAAUUGCUAAUGCAGUGAGCAUGAACAAUUUAAUAAUCUUCACAUUAAUUUGUAUUACAUUGCAUGGGGGGGAGAUUCAUGCUCAAAUUUAAUAACAAGCAUCCAUCAAAUUUAGAAUCGAUACACAAAUUGAAAAAUUAUUUAAAAUGCAAUUAACUUCCAGCACAUUAUUUUGGAAUAAGAUCAUUGCCCAACAAAUCUCCCUACUAGUGCGCUCUCUAACUUUCUAGAUGAUAACUAGGGCUAUCACAAUAUUUGUUUUUUUUUAAAAAAAAUCUACUAGAUAAUUAAUUUUAGCUCAUGGCUCCGGGAAUUAUCCACCCAAGAAGGAAACAGGGUCAUUUGUCUCUAGAAUGCGCUGCUCUAAAGCACAUACAUGAAAUCAUGAAAUGAAUGCAGUGGAAUACAAAAAUACACUGGUACGGCAAAUUUUUAAAAGGUAGGAUUCAUAUACACAUAUAUGCAAUAACAUAUAUAAUAACUGGACAAAUGCAAUGCAUGUUUAAAAAAUUAAUACAAAAAAAAUUACAGAAUUGGAUGAUCAGAGAGAUAAAACAUGUAGAUUAGAAAAAGAUUAUUGUUAUUUUUGUUUGUUUUUUAAAUUGUAAAAAGAAUCCAAUGAGAUGGGGAUGUGGAUAAGAGAUGGAAGGAAUUUUUUUGUUUGAAUACAGUCCAAUUGACUUGGGAUGUCUAAGAGAAACUGUGCAAAUGAGAGAUAAAGGUGCCAAGAUAAAUCAAGGUACAAGUGGAUUAUAAUCCAACUUCUUAAUCAUUUUCUUUGCAGAUAUUUGUGAAGAAAGAAAUAGAAAUAUUAUGGUGAUAGGAUUUAACAAAUGGAAAAUAAAAUUGCAUAUUCUUCUCUCAUUUAAUAGUAUACCAUCCAUGCAAACAUAUGUAUGUACAUACAUGCAUGCAUGUGUGUGUGUGUGUGUGUGUGUGUGUCUAUAUAUGUAUAUAUCUAUCUAUAUAUCUAUAUAUGUAUGUAUGUAUAUGUAUGUAAAUGUAUGUAUGUAUGUAUAUGUAUGUAUGUAUGUAUAUGUAUGUAUGUAUAUAUAUACAUAUAUAUCUGUGUGCGCGCGCGCAUGCGUGUAGCGUCAACAUCCAAAAUUCUAUCAUUUAGUGAAAACUCGAAUUUGUAGAUUACACUGCACACAUUAUGUAAUAAUACUAACAUGAGAAAGUCAAAAAUUAACCAUACAUCAUUAAAAGGGGAACAUUCAUCAAAAAGAAAAGAAAAGAAAAGCGAAGAAAGCACAAAAAAACUACACCUCAUUCUUGGAGGCGUGGGUGAAGUAUUUUGGAUGUAUUCAAGGAGUAUCCAAAACCUUUAUUUAAUUUAAAGAAAUAAACUUAUAAGUGUUUGCCAUGUAUUCUAAAACUAUCUGACUAGUAUCAAUAUUCGAUAUGUAUCCAUGCAAACACGACAUAAAAUUUCAAGUAUCCAUGCUUCCUAGAUGCUCUUGUACUCACUACAACUAGCAUGAUAUGCAUGAGUUCUCUUCUCAUUCUUCUAAAAAGACUUUGCUAUUUUAGGAAUUCAGUACUCAAGAAGGUAUUGCUACCCUAAAUGAAGGGGGCAAGAAAAAGCACAAACAUGCCCUAUCAGCAUAGAUUUUUUAAGUUAUGCUUGCUGAGUUAUGAUUUUGGACACAACAAGAAAACCUCAAUUUGUGUUCAUAAGAAAAGAUGAAAGAAGUGAUUUGAAGAAGAAAACCUCAACAACAAAGAUCAAUAAAGACAUAUACUUUAGCAUACUAGGCGUACUACUAAUAAUCUGAAAGUUAUAUAAUACAGCUUGAUAUAACAAGCAUCAAAUAUAUCAUGAGAUAUACUAUAACAUGUAAGCACGAGAAAAAUGCUUAUUAGCUGAUAUAGCUUACGUGAUUAUUUAGGAUAUAUACUAAACAAAGAAAACCAUCAAUUAGAAUAAUAGAAAACAAAAUCUAAAAACGGUUAUAUAGUUAGCAAAGGGUGCAUUUGGUGCCUAAAGAGAUGCUGCACCUAAAAAAAAAUAGAAGCUGUAAGUGAAUCAAUUCAACAUAAGUAUUACUACAACUUCUUUUGCAUUACCAAUCCAAUGGAAAUACUGCAAAGCUAUGAGCAUCUAAAUUGUCUCUUUCUAAAACAUCUACCAGCAUCGAGUCAAAGCUGGUCAGGUCCAUAUACAUCAAAAUGUCUAAAAACAUAUUCUCUAGCACUGCAUGCAUACUCAUAGACAAAGAACUAACAAAAAGGACUUUUUUUAGUUUUCAGCUUAAAAUCUUCAUCUACAGACUUAAUCAGACGUAACAGCCUCCAAUCAACUUUCAAAGAUUAAAAAUAAAAAAGUGGGAAGAAACCAAACAAAGGGAUAACUUAAGGAUCCAACCUUUUCUCUUGAACUAGGACCCAGUGUUUCACUAUUUCUUGUUUAAAAGAAUUCAUUAGAAUCCCACAACAAAGAAUUUUGUGGUCAUUCCUUCAUGAAAAAGAUUUAGCAUUGUUCAACAAAUUUAUAAGACCCAGAGACCCUUUGAGUAACACUUGAAGACUUUUCAACUCAAUAUUUAACUAUCUAGGGCUUCCUUAUCCUAAUGCAUUGAAAAACUAUUGGCUUUUUUUUUCUUCCCAAUUGUUCCUCAACUCUUCAGAGAGUGAUACUCCAUGUCCUAACCGUAUCAACUUAACUUUUAAUUAUGGGGAUCUAUAACUGUUAAAAAAUAGUCUCCUAAUUUCUUAUAAUUCCAGAAACAUAUAUAAUCUAUAAGCUCAUUAAUCAAGCACGCAUUAGUACCAUGUUUUCAGUUUCCAGAUAAAUUUCCCAAUCCAUAUAUUUGUUUCCCUGUUGUAGAAGUGAGCAAAUAUCAUGGCACAUUAUUUAUCCUGCCAGUCUGCACGUUAAGCACCAUACUCAUCAAGCUGAUCAAUUAUUGCCCUAGACAGAUGGAUUUGGCUUCUUUGCUUUAUAUAACCAUGUCACAAGCACCUAAUCCCAAUCAGACACUCCUAUUCAUUACUAUACCAAUCUUUGAAAAAAAAAAAAACAAACAAAAGCUCGAUUUUCAUCACGACAAUCAUUGUACAAUAAACUACAAGGAACGUGUGAACUGUCCAUCAAGCAAAAGAACAACUAGACCUCUACGAGACUGGUUGCCCUGGAUUCUUGUUGAUGCCAAAAAAAACUCAUAAUCCAUCCAAAAUCUUAUAUGAAAGCAUCAAAGAACCGAACAGCUAUGAGAACCAAAUCAAAGAAAUCCAAGUAUCCUCCACCAAUCGAGCACAUAGCUCGCAGAUUAAACCACCAACAUCAAUAAGAAAUUUAAAACAGCGAUCAGAAGAAAAAAUCGGAGACCAUGGGAGGAAGGAAUAGCAGAAUACCGAGUUGAAAGACCAUUUCUCAUCGUCAUAGAUCUGGGCGUUCAAGUACUCCUUAAUCUUCUCCAUGAAGGAUAGUGACGCCACUGUCGAUUGCUCGCGAGGUUUUGGGUUUUGGUUUCGCGCUUCUCGUCUGCCCUUUUUGGCUACUCUUAACGUCUCGCGGAGCCGAAAAGAGUGUAUAAAGACUCAUCGAAAAGGGCUCUGUCGAUUACGCUAAUCACGAAAACGCCACCGCGCCACUCUCGAUUGCUCGCGAGGGUUUUGGGUUUUGGUUUCGCGCUCCUCGUCUGCCCUUUUUGGGUACUCUCAUCGUCUCGCG